UGCUCUGCUGCAAUGGCGAUGGUGGCGCGCUGAAGAGCGGAGUUGGCCGAGUUUCCCUUUGUUUUACGACGCAUUCUUCAGUCAUGCACGACCAUCCAGCGCUAAAUCCGGCUUGAAGAAGGGCGUGGAUCUUACAUUUUAUCUGCGGCCCCAGUGGCUGGGCUGUAAGCAAACAGCAGCCUACAUGCAACCGCCCCGAUACUUCUCACAUUUGCAUGCGAUAAGCGACCAGCACCCACCCAUCCCUCUCUUUCCAGCAGCUGAUCUGAGCCACAACAAGCCCUCUGGCCGGUGAGGACCUGGAGCUGUCUGACCCAGCUGGAUCAUUAUGGCAGAGCGCAGUUCCACCGGAUUACUGAUGAUGAUGCUGGACCCGUCGCCGGCGAUCGCGAUGACUCUCCCGGCGGAGGUGCGCGAGAAGCUGGCGGAGCUCGAGCUGGAGCUCUCCGAGGCAUCUGCUCCCACUGAAGCCUGUCUGUCCUGAAGAGCUAGUUCCAGCACUGCACACUUUCCGGAGCUCAUAACCCUUACAGUCUACACCUGUAUUUCCUGCUGUAGCCUGGGACGUAAGCUGGGGCUGACAGUGUUAACAUAACCUCAACUAUAGCUCAGCGCUGGGCAGGCCGUUGGUGUGAUAACCUACUUAUACUGUACCUACACAGCAGAGAGUGGGUUUCUGGGCCCUGUGUCAAAAGCUUUAGCUGGCAAGAACAGCUGGAGUGGAUUUUUAAGUAAAACAUUUGUUCAGUUUUGUUCAUUUUGUAAAAGAAGAAAAAAGGACAGACUUAGUAGUUUUUUUUUUAACUCCUAUCGUGACCAGCAAACCUAGUGACAUCACACAGAAAGGCUAUGAAAAGAAAAGAGGGAAAUUACUGGCGCCCUACAUACCCCAGAUA